rnacentral:misc_RNA from 1 species
UCACUGCUUGCGCAGGCAGUCCCCCUAGAGUCCCCGGCUUGACCCGCUGGUAACUAGGGAUAGGGGUUGCGUUCGUUGCGGGACUUAACCCAACAUCUCACGACACGAACUGACGACAGCCAUGCAGCACCUCACCGCCGGCCCUUUCGGGAGGCCCCCUUUCAGGGGCGGUCCGGCGGCGUUCGAGCCCAGGUAAGGUUCCUCGCGUUGCAUCGAAUUAAGCCACAUGCUCCACCGCUUGUGCGGGCCCCCGUCAAUUCCUUUGAGUUUCACCCUUGCGAGCGUACUCCCCAGGUGGGACGCUUAUCGCGUUAGCUUAGGCGCUCGGGGGAACCCCCCGAACACCGAGCGUCCAUCGUUUAGGGCGUGGACUAC